UCUCAGCAUUUAGGUGGCACCGUGCUGAUACUGUCCAAUCUCAGAAGCCAAUCAGGACUGUAUUUGGUUAGGACUGGGAUGGGAGACCACCAGGAAAACUAAGUGCUGUAAGAU
rnacentral:rRNA from 1 species